rnacentral:rRNA from 1 species
UACGAAGGGGGCUAGCGUUGCUCGGAAUCACUGGGCGUAAAGCGCACGUAGGCGGCUUCUUAAGUCAGGGGUGAAAUCCUGGAGCUCAACUCCAGAACUGCCUUUGAUACUGAGGAGCUUGAGUCCGGGAGAGGUGAGUGGAACUGCGAGUGUAGAGGUGAAAUUCGUAGAUAUUCGCAAGAACACCGGUGGCGAAGGCGGCCAACUGGUCCGGAUCUGACGCUGAGGCGCGAAAGCGUGGGGAGCAAACAGG